GGGCUGGUAGCUCAGCGGUCUAGAGCAACCGACUCAUAAUCGGUUAGACGUCGGUUCGAAUCCGACCCAGCCCA
rnacentral:tRNA from 1 species